AAGGCAAAUUGAAUGAUCGCCCUGACGUAAAGUCAGAGAGGAAAGUCCGGACAUUUAUCCGCCGAAGAGGCGGAAAGGGUAGUGGGUAACACCCAUCUAGAGCAAUCUAAGAGGUGCGAGCAGAGACGUGCGAAACCGAAAGGUUGAGCACCCAGCUUUUUAUUUAUAAAGGGCGGGGCGAAUCCAAUAGUAAUAUUGGGGUGAAACGGCUAAAUCCUUACCUGGAUGCAAGGUCGUGUCUUGUUCUACACUAGUAAGAAUAAGAAGUACCGCUUGAUCCCGAUAGUAAUAUCGGGACUAGAUAAAUGAUCAUUCUCGACAAAAUCCGGCUUAUAGAUUUGCCUUGAUA
rnacentral:RNase_P_RNA from 3 species